AGCAUUAUUCUGUGAUUUAAGAUGAUCGCAGGGCACGCACUAUACGCGCCGCAUUUCAGAAUUUGUUGUAUGAAAU